rnacentral:ncRNA from 2 species
GUUAAGGUUCAGUAAUUGGGCUAUCCUAAAAAUCAGGAUUUUAGGGAAAACGGUGCAAAUCCGUUGCGGACCCGCCGCUGUAACCGGGGAUGAAAGCCGCAAUACCACUGUCAAUUCUUGAUGGGAAGGGCGGCGAGUAAAACGAACCGGAAGCCAGAAGACCUGCCCAUGGGAGCUAUAGCGU